GGGGCCGUAGCUCAGUUGGGAGAGCGCAGCGUUCGCAACGCUGAGGUCAGGGGUUCGACUCCCCUCGGCUCCACCA
rnacentral:tRNA from 1 species